rnacentral:rRNA from 1 species
CUACGGGCGGCUGCAGUGAGGAAUUUUGCGCAAUGGGGGAAACCCUGACGCAGCAACGCCGCGUGAGUGAAGAAGGCCCUUGGGUCGUAAAGCUCUGUCAAUGGGGAAGAAGUUAUUAUGUGUUAAUAGCACAUUUUAUUGACGGUACCCAUGAAGGAAGCACCGGCUAACUCCGUGCCAGCAGCCGCGGUAAUACGGGGGGUGCAAGCGUUAUUCGGAAUUAUUGGGCGUAAAGGGCACGCAGGCGGUCCUGUCAGUCAGAUGUGAAAGCCCGGGGCUCAACCCCGGACGUGCAUUUAAAACAGCAGGACUUGAGUACGGGAGAGGUAAGGGGAAUUCCUGGUGUAGAGGUGAAAUUCGUAGAUAUCAGGAGGAACACCGGUGGCGAAGGCGCCUUUCUGGACCGAUACUGACGCUGAGGUGCGAAGGCGUGGGUAGCGAACGGGAUUAGAUACCCGGGAGUC